GUCCUCAGUUGGCAUUGCUGAUCAUCACACUGCAGAUAGAUGUGGAAGGCACUGGACUCUUCAUCACCUGAGAGAAGAAACAGGAUGAAGGGAAGUGCAGCUGGAAGGAGGGAGGUGGAGGCAUGUGGCAUCCAGGGCUGGCUCUGGUGGGGUGGUGAGGUGUCCUCCGCCUGUACUGCAGAGAGGCAAGCUGUUUCCCGGCACACUGAACUAUAAGUCUCUACUCUGUGAAGAAGAUCCAGCAUGAGGGAGCCAGAGAAGCAGAGAAGGACCAUGAAGAGUUGUAGGAGGUCAAUGAAGAGAAGACUUAAGUCAGCUUCAGCUCAAGGGACUGACGUGCUGGAACUUUCUUUGGGAAGUCAUAAAAUGCACACAUAUACACAGAGAAGAAUCUGGAAGAGUGGAUCUCAAGGUGCUCGGAGUAGCUGUGAGUGGGUGGGUUCCUCAUUUUUGCCCAUGUACUUUCUGUAAUGUUCAUUUAGACGGUAAAAUUACUAGA